rnacentral:rRNA from 1 species
UACGGAGGGGGCUAGCGUUGUUCGGAAUUACUGGGCGUAAAGCGCACGUAGGCGGCUUUGUAAGUUAGAGGUGAAAGCCCGGGGCUCAACCCCGGAAUUGCCUUUAAGACUGCAUCGCUAGAAUUGUGGAGAGGUAAGUGGAAUUCCGAGUGUAGAGGUGAAAUUCGUAGAUAUUCGGAAGAACACCGGUGGCGAAGGCGGCUCUCUGGACCGAGACUGACGCUGAGGCGCGAAAGCGUGGGGAGCAAACAGG